UACGUAGGGGGCAAGCGUUGUCCGGAUUUAUUGGGCGUAAAGAGCGUGUAGGCGGCCUGAAAGGUCAGCUGUGAAAACUCGAGGCUCAACCUCGAGACGUCGGUUGAAACCAUCUGGCUAGAGUCCGGAAGAGGAGAGUGGAAUUCCUGGUGUAGCGGUGAAAUGCGCAGAUAUCAGGAAGAACACCCGUGGCGUAAGGCGGCUCUCUAGUACGGUACUGACGCUGAGACGCGAAAGCGUGGGGAGCGAACAGGAUUAGACACCUCCGUAGGUCAGAUCCGAAGAUCC
rnacentral:rRNA from 1 species